UACUCCUACGGGAGGCAGCAGUGGGGAAUAUUGGACAAUGGGCGCAAGCCUGAUCCAGCCAUACCGCGUGGGUGAAGAAGGCCUUCGGGUUGUAAAGCCCUUUUGUUGGGAAAGAAAUCCAGCCGGUUAAUACCCGGUUGGGAUGACGGUACCCAAAGAAUAAGCACCGGCUAACUUCGUGCCAGCAGCCGCGGUAAUACGAAGGGUGCAAGCGUUACUCGGAAUUACUGGGCGUAAAGCGUGCGUAGGUGGUCGUUUAAGUCCGUUGUGAAAGCCCUGGGCUCAACCUGGGAACUGCAGUGGAUACUGGACGACUAGAGUGUGGUAGAGGGUAGCGGGAUUCCUGGUGUAGCAGUGAAAUGCGUAGAGAUCAGGAGGAACAUCCAUGGCGAAGGCAGCUACCUGGACCAACACUGACACUGAGGCACGAAAGCGUGGGGAGCAAACAGGAUUAGAUACCCUGGUAGUCCACGCCCUAAACGAUGCGAACUGGAUGUUGGGUGCAAUUUGGCACGCAGUAUCGAAGCUAACGCGUUAAGUUCGCCGCCUGGGGAGUACGGUCGCAAGACUGAAACUCAAAGGAAUUGACGG
rnacentral:rRNA from 1 species